GAAAUGCGAUAAGUAAUGUGAAUUGCAGAAUUCCGUGAAUCAUCGAAUCUUUGAACGCACCUUGCGCUCUCUGGUAUUCCGGGGAGCAUGCUUGUUUCAGUCUCAGUAAAUCAUACUCAAAAACAUAAUGUUUUUGGAAUUUGAGCCGUCUCUGCUCAGAGUGGCUUGCAAUGAAUUUUUGGGCUUUUUUACCAAUAAAGUGAAAUUAGUACUUUGGGCCCCUAGCUCAAGUUCACAACACUUUGUUCGGCUUAAUUGUACCCAAAUAUGCAGGAUCUUAUUCAACCCUUGAGCUGAAAUCAAGUAGGAUUACCCGCUGAACUUAA
rnacentral:misc_RNA from 1 species